rnacentral:rRNA from 1 species
GAUGAACGCUGGCGGCGUGCCUAAUACAUGCAAGUCGAGCGAACGGACGAGAAGCUUGCUUCUCUGAUGUUAGCGGCGGACGGGUGAGUAACACGUGGAUAACCUACCUAUAAGACUGGGAUAACUACGGGAAACCGGAGCUAAUACCGGAUGAUAUUUUGAACCGCAUGGUUCAAAAGUGAAAGACGGUCUUGCUGUCACUUAUAGAUGGAUCCGCGCUGCAUUAGCUAGUUGGUAAGGUAACGGCUUACCAAGGCAACGAUGCAUAGCCGACCUGAGAGGGUGAUCGGCCACACUGGAACUGAGACACGGUCCAGACUCCUACGGGAGGCAGCAGUAGGGAAUCUUCCGCAAUGGGCGAAAGCCUGACGGAGCAACGCCGCGUGAGUGAUGAAGGUCUUCGGAUCGUAAAACUCUGUUAUUAGGGAAGAACAUAUGUGUAAGUAACUGUGCACAUCUUGACGGUACCUAAUCAGAAAGCCACGGCUAACUACGUG